GCCAUUUCCGCCUGACGUCGCGAUGGUGUGGACUGUAGACAGUGUAGAGUUUGGUGUUCGACUGUAAUGUUCGUUAAGUCAGUUUAUUUUAUAAAAGUGGUUAUGAAAAAUGGUGGCCGUAUAGUUUUCGACGAAGAAGAUCUUCCUUAUGAAGAAGAUAUUCUUCGACUUUUCGUAAUCAGUACGUGGUGAAGCUAUGGAUGCGUUAUUAUUACCGUUAUAUCGAUCACAAAAGAGACGAUCCGAAAAAUCAAAUGGCGAGGUACCUACAUUGGUAAAUUUGCGAGGCAUAAAGGGCGUGAUACAUACUCGUAGGUACAGGUAAAAUGUAAUACGCUACAGGCAAUGCCACAAUAUAAAACUCGUUCUUCCACACCGCUACUCCUCAGUUACCUAUUAAUUACGACCUGUUCCUCGAAGAGAAGAAAAUAUUUUGAAGAAGCAUUUUAGAGCUUACUAUGAGGGAAUCUCUUUAUUCGAAAGGACCCAAUGUGAUUUGAUAUUUGAAAUACGUAUUUAACGAAAUUUCUCAAUAGAUGUGGAGGAAAACAGUUGGAUCGAGCUAUAGAUUUAUUCAUCCUGUUUUUGGAACAUUGUCCUCCAAAAUUUGCCAAAAGUCAACAUGAUGUCCGCUCUCAGAUGUUAGCAGCUGCCGCGAAUGUAUCUUAAUACCGUUUCCGGUUCCGAUCUGGCAUGACGCUAAAGAUGGUACAUACGAAUAUGAAUGUUGGAGGCAAAGGCAGCCGAAAUAUCAGCCGCAGAUGGUGAAAUAAUAUAGAUAAAUUUUCUAAAUAUUUUGUAUGAGUGACAAUAUGCUGUAUAGUUUUUAUCCCGAGGUUGUUGUAACUUCGUUCAAACGCCUCGUGUUUUCGAUCUUAUUUUCAAAUCGAGCUUGUACUUUUAAAUCAUCAUGCUGAAAUUUUUGGAUGCACAAAUUGUAAGAAAAAAAACGAAAUUGGCUUGAUUUUUGAAACAAAUGUACCUAAUCCUUUGACAAACCUUGUGGGUAAAUAAUUUUAAAGCCUGCGAUAAGUUUCUUCAUUUAUCUUUCUUAUGCAAGAUUAAUACAACGGCUCCUGCAGCUGUCUCAUAGAGUGCAGUUAGCUCUAUAAAAAAAAAAAAAAAAAAAAUGAGAAAAAAACGAGUCAUUAUUUAUUUAUUUUUUAGAAAAACAUGUUUAUUUAGAGAUGACGAGUUAUUGAUUCCUAGUAUAUUUUCUUGUAUCGGGCCCAGAUCUGAUUGAAUACCUACUUAAGGGUAAUCAAUAAUCAUUAAAAUGAAAAAUUAUUGAAUAAUUCAAUAUACUACACUAUACAAAAAGUUGAUAUAUAAAUAUUUCAAUUCCAAGUUGUCAACAAUUUUGGAAUCCUGAUAUAAUUCUGUUCCAUUUUCUCAGUUAUCCUUGUUUUCUUUAGUUUGAAUAAUCAUUUUACAGAAAUCAAAUUUAACGAAAGAUUAAAAACGUCUUGCCUUGUUUAGUGCUUCAAGAGGAGCAUUAUUUAUAUUAUUUAUAUUAAAAUUUAGGAAUACAUAGUUAGGUAACCUUGUUCUUGCAAAAAAUUGAACAAUAAACUGAGAUUACUGAGCUCAACAUUCGGGUGUUCACUGAGCUGUUAACUUUAAAUCUUUAAUUCUACUAUUUGGCUCACGUGUACAUUUUCAAAUAGAUCAAUUUUACAGCAUUACCAUUCUCACUCAACAGUUUCAUAAUCCAAAAUUUUAUCACUGAAUUUUUAAAAACAGUAAGCUGCACAGUGAUUAAUGGGAACAAUUUGUAGCCCAACCAACCCCAGAUGCGUGUGAAAUAAGGCUAUUUAGUACACCAUUCUAUAGAAAUUAAAUUAAAUUAAAUUAAAAAUAUCUUAAAACAAAAAACCAUAAAUGAAAAUUCCUACAGAGUGGAUUUGAUUUUCUAAAUUGUCUAGAAUGGAUGAACACUUGAUUCUAUGUAUGUAUUUAUCUAGAUUGUUGAAUAAAACAGACACAGUUGUUCUUUGCCCGGAACUCAUAGCCAUACCUGCUGAAUGUGAUAUUUAGGUAACUGCUGUGUUGUCUGGGUUGUAAUUAAAAUGAUUAAAAAUAUAUUAGUGCAAUAAUUAUUAUUCAAAAUAUGAAAUAAUACCUAUUAUAUAAAUUAAAUUCAACAAAAAAAAUGAAACUGUCUUACAAACUAAAAACGGCAAAGGAAUAUUACUUACGAGUACUUAUUCCUAUAGAAUCUUGAUUCAUAAUUGUGUCAUUCCGCAGGUAAAGGGCCCAUUUCAUUCCCUAAUCCAUCACACAUGCCACGUGGCUACCAUGCCAGUUAACAAAAUUGUGUUUUUGAGUGGUAUACAUGUUGCCACUGGCGACUAGGUGCAGUAUAAUUCGGAGGGUAAUUUUUUGGAAGCGAAUUUACCGCAAAAAAAGCAAAAUCGACCAAAUGGGCCCUUUGUAGAAAAACUGUAGUUCCAUUUUUCUCCGCUUGGGGUGCACCUGCUGCGUUGAUACUUUAACACGCGAUAGUCGGAUAUGGUCUACAUCGAAAUCCAUCAAAACCUUGAUUAUCAAUUCUCUCAACUUUUUCACUAAAAACACAAUUAUCUCAAUAAAUAGAAGCGACCAAAUGGGCCCUUCACCUACGGAAUGACACAAUUAUACCUAUGGUCAACAUAACUAGAAAGAAUAACAAUACCUACCUUGAAUUAUCAAUACUACUUAGGUAGGGCUCAUCAAUAUGAAUUUGUUUUUUUAGGGUUGAACUAUAACCCACUUACUAGUGCUAUAGAAAUUGUUACUAGUUGUUACAAACAGAAAAUUUUAUCCAUCAUUACUCUUCAAUUUUCCUUCACACCCAACAACAGAACAACUUGUAUUUUGAGGUUUUUUCAAUCUCCAACUUUUGAGUAGUUUUUGAUAACUAGUUUCAAAUUAAUGAAGCAGUUUUAAAAAAUCCAUUGUUUAGCCAUCCUUUUAUGCAGCAAAUAUGGCUUGUAAAUUGUUCUCUAAAUAGAUUAAAUUUUACAAAAAAAAUAAAAGUGUCUUACAACAAAAAACAGCAAAGGAAAAUUACUUACUUAUUCCUAUAAAAUCUUGAUUCAUACAUGAAUUCUUGGUUGAUUGAAAACAAAUACAUCAAAUCGAAACUUUGAAAGGGGUUUUAACUAUGUGUUGGUAAAAUUCCUGGUGUCAAGGUUAAACUUUGAUUAUGCAGAAAUGCAAGGCCCAGAUACAUUUGUCCACGCAAAGUUCCAUAUGCAUUACGUGCUGCAUAUGAUCGUAAACUUGAUGAAUUAGAACGAGAUGGUGUCAUAACAUAGGUCGAUACCAGCGAUUGGGGUUUGCCAGUGGUACCAAUCAAGAAAGAAAAUGAUAAAAUUUGAUUGUGUGGUGACUAUUAAGUGGCUAUAAAUGAACAGCUUGUCGAUAAUCAUUUUCCAAUUCCAAAAAUCAGAGAAGUAUUGCCUCAACUAAAAGGUGCUCGGGUAUAUUGUCAAUUGGAUUGUUUCAAAGGAUACUUACAUUGUGAAGUCGAUGAAGAGAGCGCUGAAAUUUUUAUGAUUUCUACACAUAGAUGUACUUACUGUGUCAAUUGAUUGGGAUUUGGAGUCAAAACAGGGCCAGGCGAGUUUCAUGAGAUCAUGAAGAGAAUCUUAGCUGGUUUACAUGGUGUAAUUGACUUGUAUUUUGAGGUUUUUUCAAUCUCCAAUUUUUGGGUAGUUUUUCAUAACUAGUUUCAAAUUAUUAAUGAAGCAGGUUCAUAAAAUUCAUUGUUUAGCCAUCCUUUUAUGUGGCAAAUUAUGACUUGUAAAUUGUUCUAUAUAAAUUAAAUAGGUAUAACAAAAACAGAAAAAUGUCUUAAAACAAAAACCAGCAAAGGAAAAUUACUUACUGGUGGAACUUUAACCCUCUUAUCCAUGUUUCCUUCAGAGUCUUCUUCAUUAUCUGAAUGUGGAUUUUUGUUUUUUACAAAAUCAGAAUUGUAGGCUAUUAGUGGCUCAGUUUCUGUUCUUAUUUGUGCUGGUUCUGUUGUGAUUGUUUGUCUACACAACUCACCAUUCAGAAAUUUAUUUGUGCUGGUUCUGUUGUGAUUGUUUGUCUACCCAACUCACCAUUCAGAAAUAAUACUUCUGAUUUUGUCACAAUAGCAACAUUUUCAUUUUUUAAUCUAAUUUCCUCAACUUUCUCUAGAAGUGGGUUAAGGUAACUUGUCUCAAUUCUUGGUUGAUUAAAAACAAAUACAUAGACAUACUAACAAUUAUGUUUCCUCCUACAAGAAUAGGACUCAUUUGAAAACUGAUAGGAAAAUCCUUCCCAAUUCAAAUAGUUUGCAUUUAUUACUGUUGGAGGUGGCGGUGUGGUUGUUAUAGACAAUUUGGGAGGUUAUGUGUAGGUGUUUGCAGAUUCAGAAUUUGUUUGGUAGCAUUCCAAACAUCUUUACUACUUGGUUCUACAUAUAUAAAUUAAAUUUAACAAAAAAAAGCAAAGGAAAAUUGCUCAUAAGUACAUUAAAUUUAACAAAAAACAGCAAAGGAAGAUUACUUACUUAUCCCUAUAGAAUCUUGAUUCAUGGACAUGGUCAACAUCUAUGAUUGAAUUGUUAAAAUGGGCUUACCAUAAUGAUUACAUUGAACUUUUCAUCAGUCAUUUUUUGUUACAAUACCAACAUUUUCAUUUGUUAAUCUGAUUUCGUGGGGGUAACUUGUCUCAAUUCUUGGUUGAUUGAAAACAAAUACAUACUAACAAGUAUGUUUCCUCCUACAAGAAUAGGACUCAUUUGAAAACUGAUAGGAAAAUCCAUCCUAAUUCAUACAACCUUCUAUCCAGAUGAACAAAUGUUUCUCCACCAGAAGUAUAAAAACUUUGGUGUUAGUAGACGUUUCACAAAUUAUUUCUGAGAAAUUGUAGUGUGAAACACCUAGGCUAGAACUUGUGAAUUCUAUCCCAUUGUCAAACUUCAAAAAAGAAUUUUGCAGGGAAUCCAUCUGCAAAAAUGAUCUGAUUUCAAAGAAUUUCUGAUUAAUAUGAGACAUAGGUAUUUAGAAAUAAUUCUGGCUAAUUUUUAGCAAUAUGAUGCAAUUGAUUUGGAGAGAAUUUCAAAGCAUGCAUGCUUUAUUUGUUCUGUAAUCUGCAUUGUUUUACAAUUACACAUAGUGGCAUUGAAUGGUCUAUGCAAUGGUAACAGACCAUGGUCAACUUCUAUAGUUGAAUUAUCAAAAUGGGCUUACCAUAAUGAUUACAUUGAACUUUGCAUUGAUCUUUUUUUUGUUUGAAUAAUGCUCCUCAAAAUACACACUUAUUUAAUUCAUAAUUAUAAAGUUUUUUAUCAUUUUUCAUUUUUAUAUGUACACUACAUAGCCUGUGGGUGUGUACAAAUUACAAUUUAUCAAAUUAGGUGGUUUGAAUCUCUAUUAUGUUAUUGUUGAUUUUAACUAUGAUAGGGUACCUAUAUUUUAUAAAUGAUAUUUUUUCAUAUUAAAAUAUUGAACAGUAAACAUUUACAUUACCAUUCGGAUAUCACAGUUAGUGGUGUCAAUUAUUCAAAAAAAACAUCGAUUUUGAAAAUCGAUUUUCAAUUUUUUGAAAAAAUCGGCCAAAAAAUAAUCGAUUCUGCAUAAUCGAUUUUUUUCGUAUUUCUUUGAUGAUUUCUUGAAUGUUGUUUUGAAAUUUCUGGACUUUUCAACAGUGAAUUUACAUUAGUGAAAAAACUGCAAUUUCCGGUGUAAAUUUCUUCAAUUUUUCAAUUUUUUGCAGAGUUCUUGUCUUUUUUCAGUUUUUUUAUAUCAUUUUCGACUGAUUUUCUCGUAUUUUUUGAAAAAAAUCAAAAUAAUCGAUUCUUGUAAAAAUAAAAUCGGAAUCGAAAACAUCGGCGGAUCGAAAAAUUGGCAAAAAAUCGAUUAUUUGGGACUGAUUUUAUUAAUUUUUGAUUAAAUCGAUUUUUAAUCGACACCACUAAUCACAGUUACAAUAUUUAAAGUUGACUUAUUUUUACUAAUACUAUCCAUCUUUUAUGAGCAUAUUGAAAAAUGAAAAAUUAUAAUGGGACCUCCUAAGAAAACAAACAAACUGAUCCUUGGGAUGGCCAGUGGAUUUGGAGAAUCGAAUCCACAGGCCUUUAUAAUGGGAUCGUGAUUAAUUGGUGGCUUGCAAAUUUGGGGAGGUAGUGUAUAUGUUCGGCCCACAUACACGGAACUAUAGGGUUAUUGGUUAAGUAGAUCACCCCCCCCCCCAAAAAAAAAAAGAAGUUGUAUAAUUAUCUUGGAAAAGUUUCGCCAAACUCGACAAAGUCGAUAAAUUUUAUGAAUUUUUAGUCUCAAUAAAGGAAUUUAUUUGCCGAUUUUUUUGGAACUUGAAGCAUAUGUUUGGGUCCAGCCUGUUUUUUUUUUUCAAAAUCAAACUUUCUGAAAAUCUAUUAUUUAUUCAAAUUUUUAAAAAUGUUUAAAUUGAAUAAUGAACUCCUCACAUGGAAAAAAUGUUUUUUUUUUUUUUACUUCUCGAAAUACUAAAUUUUGAGAGCUUUUGCCUUCACUUCAUUUGGGCCUUUUUACUUUUGUUUCUAAAACUAAAAUUUCUUCAAAAAAUCAGUCAAAUUUUGAAAUUUUGAAGCCAAAAACAUCUUUUCAUAAAAAAACAUCGUUCAAUCAUUAAAAUGAAAAUUUUCAAAAGCAUUUGCCCUCGCUGCCUGGUCCAAUUUGUUUGAUUAUUUAAUUUUUUUACAAAAUGAUUUCACAUUCAAAAACUUGGCUUUUUAUUCGGCAAGAUUGGUAUUUUUUUCUCAUGUUAAUCUGCAGAUUUUUGGUUGAUCCCCCACCCCCUUCCCAGACAAUGCGUCUUUGAGAAUUUGAAAACGUUUUCAUCUGCUGUAAUAGGUACCUACGUUUUUCCAGGCAUAACAAAAUGUGAGCAAAAUUCGGCAUAAAUUUUGUUUGAAAAAGUUACAAUUCAAUUAGAUUAGGUACCUAUUUCAGAAGAUGGACAAGCUUUAAAAGAAAAAGCUUGUCCAUCUCUUUCAAUGUGAGGGUAGUUUGAAAUAUGUACAGGAAUUUGAUAAAGUAACUACAAAACGUAUUGUAAUCGUAAACAUUUUGCUCAAGCUGAGCUUAACCCAUCUGGUACCUUCUCGAUUUAUUUUUUUUUUUGCCUUAAAUACCGCGUGAAUUUUCUACUGAUUGAAUUUUUCAUGGAGGUUUUGGAAAAAAUCCAUCUACAAUACAAAAAUUUGCUUAAGCAGCCAUGUAAGUCCGAAAGUAAGUAUAAGUAACGUUCUGUGAUAUGGCCCUGAAUGAUAAAAACAAAAAGAUUACUUACAUCAUUCAUAUUAUUCAUGGUGAUGGUGAUAAAAACAAAAAGAUUACUUGCAUCAUUCAUAUAAGCACCACUUCAAUUUAUUAAGUAGAUUCAAUUUAUUAAGUAGAUGACGAUUUAAAAAACAUGUUGAUCUUUGAUGAAAGAGUAUUUCUUCUUUGAUCUGCCUUAUUUUCCAAUUGUAACUGGCUAUGCAACAGUGAGAAGGGUGCAUGGUCAUUGGUCAACAUGUAUGGUUGAAUUGUCAAUUGGGCUUACCAUCAUAGUUAUGUAGAACUUUUCAUCAAUCAUUUCAGUUGCAGUCUUGUUUGUAUCCAGUACAUCUGGUUUCUUAUUUUUGAAAGUAUCCAAUAUAUCUCUUACAAGAUCUUGCUUAAUACUUUCGUGACUUCUCCACACAAUGGCGUUAUGCCUAAAAUAUCUAAUUUGAUGAUACAUAAUAUGUUUCUCAGUGACUUCUAAUGUACUUGAUAGUCUGCCUCUUAGGCUUGACCCAAUAUGAUGUAUUACAGUAAAUACUUGGUUAAGUGAUUAGAGAUUUAGUAUACUUGGAGUGUUAUUGUUUUUUAUACUUAACUAGUUUCAAAUUAAUGAAGCAGUUUCAAAAAAUUCAUUGUUUAGCCAUCGUCUUAUGAGGCAAUAUGGCUUGUAAAUUGUUCUAUAUAAAUUAAAUUUAACAAAAAACAGCAAAGGAAAAUUGCUUACUUAUUCCUAUAAGGUGCACUGGGGCAAGUCAGAAUGAUUUUUCACAAUUUCAACUUUGACCAGCUGUUACUCCCCUUCUAAUGAACAAAUGUGUCAUUUUAAGGUGAAAGGUCCCACUUUGACAAAAUUGAGUUAAGACCGCCAAGUUGUAUUUUGGACUAUUCCUGAUCGAAUGGAGCAAACCCGACGACAUUUCGUUGAUUUUUACCCAACUUACACCACCUAAACACUCAUCACUACAAAAAACUUAGUUUUGAGAAAAACGAGUUUAAAAAUUUUUAAGUGUUUUUUUCAUUUAAAAUCGUCAAACGAACGCUAAAAAAGGUCUCUGAUAGCUCAUUUUGAAGGAAAUUUUAUGCCGAAUCUAAUGGUAAUAUGUACGCGAAGUCAUCUGCAGAAUAUCUCUUUGCUUUCGUGAAAAAACUGUAGAAAAUUUCAUGAUUUUUUGAAAAAAAAAUUUUUUCAUUUUUUUCUGAUUUUUUCAAAAAAUUGUAAAAAUGUAAUCAUUUUUCAACUCCCCUUCCCCCCUCAGAAGAUCACAGCAAAAAAUGAUUUCAAAUUGCAAUUUUUCAUCAUUUUCUUGUUUAAAAAAUUUUUAUUUUCAAUUUUUUUCUGAUUUUUUUCAAAAAAUUGUAAACAUGUAAUCAUUUUUCAACUUUUCCCUCCCCCCUGACAGAAGAUUAAAGCAAAAAAUAAUUUCAAAUUCCGAUAAAUGAAAGGAUAGGCCUGAGUAGUUAACUUCAACGCGCUAGUUCGCGGGGUUCUCGUUAGGAGCGCGAACUAAAAAUCAUACCAGCUGUUAGAGGAGAUCGUCUAGUAUCCGAAUACGUCAAAAAAUAAAAAGGUCCCACUUUGACAUUUUUCAACUUUGAAUCGAUUUUGCGAGAAAUCUGAAAAUGUCAAAGUGGGACCUUUUACCUUAAAAUGACACAAAUAUGGAUCAAAUUUAUUAUGUAGGUUCCCAUAAGGGUUCUUAACCUAUGGUAAAAAUUUGAGCGUGAUUGACACAGUAGCUUUCGCUCAGUGGAAUAAAAUAUAAACUGUCCUGACUUACCCCAAUUGGGGGAAGUCAGAACACGCUAUACUUUGCAGAGGCGUAGAUCACAAACCGAGCGUCCUAGAAAAAUUGCACAUAAACAAAAUUGUAGAGAAUUUAAUUCUCUUUGAGAUCACUCUCAUCAGAUUUUCACUAGGACGCACGGUUCGUCCGCUAUAUGCGAAAAACUAAGAAAUAGAAAGUCUGUAUUUUAGACCAAAUUCAAAAUAAGUUCAAAACAACAACAAAAUUCAAUUGAACCAAAGACAUCUAAAAUGAAACUGAAUCGCGAAAAUUUUUAUGCCGUGAUGAAGUAGGGGUAGUACCCUCAAGUCACUUUUAGUGGCACUUCGCCAGAUAUAAACCUCUAGGUGCUAGAGCAAGUUUUCUAACUUACCCCGAAUUCCAACUUCCCCCGGUGCACCUUAUAGAAUCUUGUGUCUGAUUCCGAAGUGUUUUGGGUCAAUAUGAGACAUAUUUAGAAAUAUAAUUCUGGCUAAUUUUUAGCAAUAUGAUGUAAUUGAUUUGGAGAGAAUUUUAAAGCAUACAUGCUCUAUUUCUUCUGUAAUCUGCAUUGUUUUCCAAUUAUAAAUUGUGGCUUUGAACUGGCUAUGCAAUGAUGAGAAGAGAACAUGGUCAACAUAUGUGACCCGCUCUGACAAAACCGACCGUUUCGACAAAAAAAGUGUCCAAAAUAAUGAUGUUUAAAAUGAGUUUUAAGGGUUGAAAGAUCAGAUUUUUGAGAAAAAAACAUUUUUUGAAAUUUUGUCGAAAUGGUCGGUUUUGUCAGAGCGGGUCACAUACAUACAGUUCAAUUGUCAAAUGGGCUUACCAUCAUGGUUAUGUAAAACUUUUCAUCAAUCAUUUCAGUUGCAGUCUUGUUUGUAUCCAGUACAUUCAAAUCUGUAAAGGGUGGACAAUCCACUAAUACUAGUUUCUUAUUUUUGAAAGUAUCCAAUAUUUUAUCUCUUACAAGAUCUUGCUUAAUACUUUGUGACUUCUCCACACAAUGGCAUUAUGCCUAAAAUAUCUAAUUUGAUGAUAUAUCGCACCUCGGGAGUUAUAAGGUCACAUCUCAAAAAAGUGAAAUUUUACAGGAGAGUGGUUUUCUUUUUUUUCAAAACUUGAUUCAUUAUUUUCAUCAACUUAUAAUCAAUUGUGAGGAAUGAAUAGCAUGUCAUUUUGAAGAUUGGGUAUCCUACCUUCAUUUAGCAUAAGAAUAUUUUGAAAAAUAAAAUCUUAAAGAGGAAAUAUUUCAAUGUUUGGAAAACAUUUUGAGUUAUAACCUUUCAUAAAAAGUGAUCUGGAGGCAAAAAAAAGCGUCCAAAAAAAUUUUCAUGUUAACAAAAUUGUAGAGAAUUAAAUUUCCAAUCGACAUAAUGUCGUUAGUUUUUUUCUAGAGUGCUUAGUUUUUGAGUUCUUCCCAAAAAACUAAAAUUUUAAUAUAUAUGCAAAUUAAUUUUUCUGAAAAAUGUUCUAUUUUAAAAAUUUUUUGUUUUGGAACAAACCUACAAAAAAUACACUCCUUGUGAUUAUUUUACAUCUUAAAAACGUUCAACACUAUGGAAACUGGUUUCUGACACUUUGUAUGUGCAAAUUUUACUCUAAGAAAGAGGAGUUUUUUGAGAUGUGACCUUAUAACUCCAAACAACUUGCAAUGUUGUAGAAAUUUUGAGUUAGGCCCUUUGCAUUUUUUACAUGAUCUAAGCAGCAUACCCGACUCAAAGUGUUAUUUUUGGUUGCAGGGGGUCAUGCAAACCCCAAAAAUGCAAAAACAUCAAAAUCGAUUUUUUUGAGAUGUGACCUUAUAACUCCCGAGGUGCGAUAUAAUAUGUUUCUCAGUGACUUCUAAUGUACUUGAUAGUCUGCCUCUUAGGCUUGACCCAAUAUGAUAUAUUACAGUAAAUACUUGGUUAAGUGAUUAGAGAUUUAGUAUAUUUGGAGUGUUAUUGUUUUUUAUACUUAACUAGUUUCAAAUUAAUGAAGCAGUUUCAAAAAAUUCAUUGUUUAGCCAUCGUCUUAUGCGGCAAUAUGGCUUGUAAAUUGUUCUAUAUAAAUUAAAUUUUACAGAAAACAGCAAAGGAAAAUUGCUUACUUAUUCCUAUAGAAUCUUGUGUCUGAUUCCAAAGUGUUUUGGAUCAAUAUGAGACAUAUUUAGAACAAAUAUAAUUCUGGCUAAUUUUUAGCAAUAUGAUGUAAUUGAUUUGGAGAGAAUUUUAAAGCAUACAUGCUCUAUUUCUUCUGUAAUCUGCAUUGUUUUCCAAUUACAAAUUGUGGCUUUGAACUAGCUAUGCAAUGAUGAGAAGAGAACAUGGUCAACAUAUACAUACAGUUCAAUUGUCAAAUGGGCUUACCAUCAUGGUUAUGUAAAACUUUUCAUCAAUCAUUUCAGUUGCAGUCUUGUUUGUAUCCAGUACAUUCAAAUCUGUAAACGGUGGACAAUCCACUAAUACUAGUUUCUUAUUUUUGAAAGUAUCCAAUAUAUCUCUUACAAGAUCUUGCUUAAUACUUUUGUGACUUCUCCACACAAUGGCGUUAUGCCUGAAAUAUCUAAUUUGAUGAUACAUAAUAUGUUUCUCAGUGACUUCUAAUGUACUUGAUAGUCUGCCUCUUAGGCUUGACCCAAUAUGAUACCUAUGUGUAGGUGAUAAUGUUUAUAAAGAUGGGACUAUAAAAUGAAUAAAGUUUGAAAAUACAGUAAUAAAAAUCUGAUAAUUUUACUAUUUUUCAUUUCUUAUAUAUGUAUUUGUGGGUGUGUAACUGUAUAAUUAUUACAAUUUAUAAGCACCAUACAUUAAAAUUAGGUGGUUUGAAUCACUAAAGCACAAACGAACGGACUUGAAGCACAAACAAACACAAACGAACGACCUUAUUUUCAACACAAUUGGUGGGGGGGGGUGUACCUAAAAAAAAAACACAUACUCGGGGUGAUCGCCUGGAAACCGAGCCAAAUGUCUAUUGUUGUUUUUAACCGUGAUAGAGUAUAGGUAGUUAUUUUUUCCUAUAUAACUACUUUUUCAAAACCCACAUCAAAAGUGCUGUUGAAAAAUGAAGUUUUUCAAAUUCAAGACUGCUACAUUCAAGUUGUCUGCUUGAAUUGUGAGGUUAUUUUUAAUUAGAGACAAAAUCUCCCGCCCUUGAUACGUAAAAAUUAAAUUAUUAAGUUCGAUGCUUACAAUUUUCGCUUUUAAAUUAGCUUUAUUUUUGACUACAAGGUCUACGUUUUUUCUGCGAAGGAAAACAUCUUUGUAUUCAGGAGUAUGCCGUGGAUGUUUCCCACAGUUCUUUUGACCUUGUCUAGACCUUCGAUUACCUUUUCUUCAUUAGGUAUGUAGGUAUUAUUAUAAAUGAUGAUUUUUUCAUACUAAAAUAUUGAAUACGUCUUACAGUAAACAUUACCAGGAAAACCAAAAGACAAAAUACUGGUAGGUAUUCUAGGUAUAGUAACCUGUAACUGCUGUGUUGUCAAGGUUGUAAUCAGAAUUAUUGAAAGUAGUGCAAUAAUUAUUAUUCAAAGUUUGAAAUAAUCCCUCUUUAGAAUUUUUUUCUUGUUUUUUCAAUGCUGGGAUAAGCCCAAAACAAAGAAAUUUCUGUUUUAUUAAUCAAUAUCCCUCAUGAUUUGAUUGAUUUGUUUGACUAAUUAAUUUCCAAACAAGAAUAAUACAAUAAUAAUUUAAAUACUUAGGUACUUACUUGUUAACGUUAAGGUACAUGGGCGGAAUAAUAAUUAUGAUAAAGAAGAAUCCGUCAUUGUGGAUUCAGUGAAUGUACAUGAUUGUUUAGAUAAUAUAGGUAUACAUGAAGAGUGAUAUUCCAAAACUCGCUUUGUCCAUUUUUAUCAAAGUUGAGUUUUCAGCAGUACCUGGUAGAUGAAGUAUUAACUCACAUUCCUACAUCAUCAACCUACCAAAAUGAGGUGUUGCACUCACCUAAAUAGCCAAUUCACUAAAAAUUAAAAAAAAAAAUAAUGUUCCAAAACGCGCUUUGUUCAUUUUUAUUGAAAUUUUUUUCAGCAGUAUUUAGUGGAUGAAGUGUAUACCUACACUCCUACAUCAUGAAUCCACCCAAAUAAAGUGCUAAACUCGCCUGAAAAGUCAAUUUACCAGUUUAAAGGGAAACUGUUUUUCCUCUUUCCUGAAAAGUUGUGAAAAUGGACAAAGCGAGUUUUGGAAUAUCACUCUUCACAUACUUAAUAAAUAUAAUUAUUUAAUGCAAAUUCCUGUACCUAAUCAUUUUUUCAAAAAUUUGUGAAAUUUAUAUUAUUUUUUUCAACAUGAUGUAUAAAAUGUAUACCUGCUCUUGUUUUCAGUGAAAACUAAAUAAAUUACAAGAAUUUUAAAUCAA